AAUUGAAGGAAGCAUGGUUAUGUGUACAGAAAUUGAAUCUGGUAUAGGGUCUUCAUGUCUGCCCCCUCUGAUUUCCCUUCUGAUUUGGGGGCCUGGAUACGACCCACAUCU